rnacentral:rRNA from 1 species
AGCGAACGCUGGCGGCAGGCUUAACACAUGCAAGUCGAGCGGGCACUUCGGUAUCAGCGGCAGACGGGUGAGUAACACGUGGGAACGUACCCUUUGGUUCGGAAUAACGCUGGGAAACUAGCGCUAAUACCGGAUACGCCCUUUUGGGGAAAGGCUUGCUGCCGAAGGAUCGGCCCGCGUCUGAUUAGCUAGUUGGUGGGGUAAUGGCCUACCAAGGCGACGAUCAGUAGCUGGUCUGAGAGGAUGAGCAGCCACACUGGGACUGAGACACGGCCCAGACUCCUACGGGAGGCAGCAGUGGGGAAUAUUGGACAAUGGGCGCAAGCAUGAUCCAGCCAUGCCGCGUGAGUGAUGAAGGCCUUAGGGUUGUAAAGCUCUUUUGUCCGGGACGAUAAUGACGGUACCGGAAGAAUAAGCACCGGCUAACUUCGUG